AUAGUACCUGAUCUGAAGUAAACACUCCAUAAAUAUUUGUAGAAAGAACAAAGGGUCCAGGGUGUGCCAAGCACAGCACAAGGUGCUAGGGGAAAGGUGAAUAUGUCGAAGUCCAGGUCUUCAGAGGCCCAGCCUAGUGGGGAGAAUGCCUGGUAAGACUGAUUACAGCACCAACACUGUACUCCAACAGAAGCCGGUACAAAAUACUUGGAAGACUGCAAAGAAUAGAACUCACAGAAAAGGUGUUUAGUAUAGACAGUAGUUAAGGUGCUAAAGCUAGGUAAACUAGGGCUUGAAUACAGGCCUCGCUUGGUUGACUAGCUGGUAACCUUGAGUGAAAUACUCAACCUGAAUCUCAAUGUCCUUAUCAAUAAGUUGUGGGUAUUAACAGUAUUUGGGGAAAAAUGGGAUAAUGUAUGAAAACCUCUUAACAAAAUAUAUACACCAGUGACACAUGUCCUCUAGCCUCAACCCACCUACCUAUAGUCACAACCCAGUUCAUCCACACAAGUGGAUUAAUGCACCAAUUAGGUUAAGGCUCUCAUAACCCAAUCAUUUCACCUCUGAACUUUCUUGCAUUGUCUUACACAUGAGCUUUUGGGGGACAUCUCACAAACCAUAACAAACUCAUUUUAAGCCUCCCUACCAAUUCAGGGUCUAAGGGAUGGAAUUUCACUGCCUCUUUGGAUCUUCAUUUCUCUAUGAAGUCUCCUGGAUUAUGU
rnacentral:lncRNA from 1 species